rnacentral:rRNA from 1 species
UACGAAGGGGGGCUAGCGUUGUUCGGAUUUACUGGGCGUAAAGCGCACGUAGGCGGAUCGUUAAGUCGGGGGUGAAAUCCUGGAGCUCAACUCCAGAACUGCCUUCGAUACCGGCGAUCUUGAGUCCGGAAGAGGUGAGUGGAACUCCUAGUGUAGAGGUGGAAUUCGUAGAUAUUAGGAAGAACACCAGUGGCGAAGGCGGCUCACUGGUCCGGUACUGACGCUGAGGUGCGAAAGCGUGGGGGAGCAAACAGG